rnacentral:rRNA from 1 species
GUAACGCGUGAGAAUCUGGCUCUAGGUCGGGGACAACCACUGGAAACGGUGGCUAAUACCGGGAUGUGCCGAGAGGUGAAAGAUUUAUUGCCUAGAGAUGAGCUCGCGUCUGAUUAGCUAGUAGGUGGGGUAAGAGCCUACCUAGGCGACGAUCAGUAGCUGGUCUGAGAGGAUGAUCAGCCACACUGGGACUGAGACACGGCCCAGACUCCUACGGGAGGCAGCAGUGGGGAAUUUCCGCAAUGGGCGAAAGCCUGACGAGAGCAAUACCGCGUGAGGGAGGAAGGCUCUUGGGUUGUAAACCUCUUUUCUCAGGGAAGAACACAAUGACGGUACCUGAGGAAUCAGCAUCGGCUAACUCCGUGCCAGCAGCCGCGGUAAUACGGAGGAUGCAAGCGUUAUCCGGAAUGAUUGGGCGUAAAGCGUCCGCAGGUGGCGAUGUAAGUCUGCUGUUAAAGAGUGAGGCUCAACCUCAUAAGAGCAGUGGAAACUACAUAGCUAGAGUGCGUCGGGGCAGAGGGAAUUCCUGGUGUAGCGGUGAAAUGCGUAGAUAUCAGGAAGAACACCGGUGGCGAAAGCGCUCUGCUAGGCCGCAACUGACACUGAUGAGACGACAGCUAGGGUAGCUGAUCGGGAUUCAGAUACCCCA